AGCUUCUUCAUUCUUCACUUAUUCUUCUCCUUUUUUCUACUCGGUGGAUUCGUUCACAUCCACGAAUCAAAAGGAAGAAAAUAUCGAGAUUCCAGAUUCUGAUUCUGAAUUAUAGGUUUCUCGAUGGAGCUAUAUUCAUCUUCUUCUUCUUCGCCGGAGAGUUGUAGCGUGAAGGUGGCGGUUAACGUUCGUCCUUUGAUCGGAGACGCCACAGGUGAGACGUUAAGUCAGGAAUGUAGGGAAUGCAUUUCGUUUUUCCGGUAACGCCACAGAUCCACGCCGUCGAGAGAGAGUGUAGAGAGGAGAAGAGAGGUUUGUGAAACGAGACAAAGGUACUUGUCUUACUUGCUUCUCUCCAAUCGCAUUCUGCCACCUAUGCCCAAGGACCAGCCCAAAAAUCUCUUAACAAGGGAUUUUCGCAACCCACUUCUUAGGACUCUAUUAUAGCAUGUAAAUGCGAAAUCAAACGCAAAGAAAACCCGAAACUUUUGAGCCAUACAGGAUCCAGCGACAGAAAUUAACAAAAUGUAUCUCUUCAUGAUGAGGAAGAAAACAAAACCUUCGGCCUGCUUCAUUUAUGGACUUUGUGAUUUAGACAUCGAUUAUUGACAAAAUCACAAUCUGUCCUUAACUUUCUAGCACCACUAACACAUUGAUUGACGCAGUACAACACACUUGCACAUAACGUACCAAAAUUUACAUUCAAUUAUCUUCUAGACCUCAUAUGCAUUUAUUUAUUAUUUUACCUUUUGGUAGCCGUAAGUCAACUGAAAGUCCAUUUUAAAAAAAAUGCCUCUUCAAAAAGAAAUAUGGAUUUUUAACCAUUCACAGGUAUUGAAACCAAUAUACACCUCUUAAACUAAUUACUAGUAUGAAAUUUUGACAAAAACAAAUUACUACAAAAAUACUAUUCGAGUACUCUUUACAUAAAAUGAGGGCUUGCAAGUUGCAUCAAUAUCAUAUCAUUUAGGUUUAGUUUUUUUGUUUGUCAUGGGUUCAGAAAAUGGUUUUAAGAUCCAACGGUGAUUCUUAUUGGUCGGAUGCAUACAAUUUGCCAAAAUUAGCUUUCCAAGUUAUUAUUAUUGUUAUUAAAGGAACAAAUUUAGAUACAAGGACAAUGCAUAUUGGAUCCAGCACUUAAAACUCAGUACCUUUGUAAAUCAUUUUGUAUGACGUCAAACUUUACACACGGAAACAAA